rnacentral:lncRNA from 1 species
UCUCAGCUUCUAGGAUUCUAUCUAGGAUCACUCUAGCAUCAUCAGUAGGGAUGCGAAAGAAAGAACCUCUAGACAUUGUAUGUAGAAUUUGUUUAUGAUCUUUCUGAAGACCUCAAAAAAAAUGAAAUAAAAGAACAGGGUCUUCAAGAUUAAGGUUUGGACCAGAUUCUAAAAGAUCAGAAAAUCGUUUCCAGGAUUUUCCCAAAGUUUCAUUAUCUUUUUGUUUAAAAGAUAGGACUUCGAGUCUAAGGUCGCC